GAAAUGCGAUAAGUAAUGUGAAUUGCAGAAUUCAGUGAAUCAUCGAAUCUUUGAACGCACAUUGCGCCCGUCAGCAUUCUGGCGGGCAUGCCUGUUCGAGCGUCAUUUCAACCCUCAGGACCCCCCUUUCGCGGGGAGGGACCUGGCGUUGGGGAUCGGCCCGCCCCCCGCGGCGGCGCCGUCCCCGAAAUCUAGUGGCGGUCUCGCUGCAGCCUCCCCUGCGUAGUAGUUACAACCUCGCAUCGGAGCGCGGCGCGGCCACGCCUUAAAACCCCCGACUUUCUGAACGUUGACCUCGGAUCAGGUAGGAAUACCCGCUGAACUUAAGC
rnacentral:misc_RNA from 1 species